rnacentral:tRNA from 1 species
UGGGGAGUCGUCUAAUGGUAGGACAUGCGGCUCUGGACCGUAUAGCAGGGGUUCGAAUCCUCUCUCCCCAGCCA